rnacentral:rRNA from 1 species
UACGGAGGGUGCGAGCGUUGUCCGGAAUUACUGGGUGUAAAGCGCGUGUAGGCGGGAGGCCAAGUCUGUGGUGAAAUCGCUCGGCUUAACUGGGCGGGGUCCAUGGAAACUGGUCACCUGGAGGUCGGUAGAGGCAAGUGGAAUUCCCGGUGUAGUGGUGGAAAUGCGUAGAGAUCGGGAGGAACACCAGUGGCGAAGGCGGCUUGCUGGGCCGGACCUGACGCUGAGACGCGAAGGCGUGGGGAGCGAACGG